UUCCUCGAUAGCUCAGUCGGCAGAGCGGGUGACUGUUAAUCACUAGGUCGCAGGUUCAAGUCCUGCUCGAGGAGCCAG
rnacentral:tRNA from 1 species